GACGAACGCUGGCGGCGUGCUUAACACAUGCAAGUCGAACGAAGUGGCGAACGGGUGAGUAACGCGUAAUCAACCUGCCCUUCAGAGGGGGACAACAGUUGGAAACGACUGCUAAUACCGCAUACUGAAGGCGGAGAUUGCGGCUGACUAGCUAGUGGGGGGGGUAACGGCCCACCAGGGCGAUGAGCAGUAGCCGGUCUGAGGGGAUGAACUGCCACAUGGGGACGUAGACACGGCCCAGAAGCCUACGGUAGGCAGCAGGGGGGAAUCAUCCGCAAUGGACGAAAGUCCGACGGAGCAACGCCGCGUGAGUGAUGACGGCCUUCGGGGUGUAAAGCUCUGUUGAUCGGGACGCGGUACCGGAAGAGAAAGCCACGGCUAACUACGUGCCAGCAGCCGCGGUAAUUC
rnacentral:rRNA from 1 species